rnacentral:lncRNA from 1 species
UCAUGUUUAUUCAGUCAGUUUUUCUCUCUUUCUCUCUGUUUCUUUUUGAGAUGGAGUUUUGCUCUUGUUUCCCAGGCUGGAGUGCAGUGGCGUUCUCAACUUAUGCAUUUUUUGGGGGUUUAAUUUGGUUAUCUUUUUCUGGCUUCUUGAGAUGGACUCUUCUGCUGUGUUUCAUCUGAUUUUACACUUGUUAAAUUAAUAUUUUUCUUUUCUUUUUUAAAAUUAUACUUUAAGUUCUGGGAUACAUGUGUAGAAUGUAUAAGUUUGUUACAUAGGUAUAGUUGGCUUCUUUGAGUGUUUUGAGCUGGUUAGAUUCUUCAGGUAAAAUCUUGUCUGAAGGAUUUUGCUGUCAUUGUUUUGGUAGUCCAAUCAACUUCAGCAAAGUCUCAGGAUACAAAAUCAAUGUAAUUUUCUCUGAGGUUUCUUAAGCAUUUCCCCUGAAUAUCUUAAAGUACUAAUUUGUUUAUAAACUUUAUACAGGAGGCAUUUUAGAAUAGUGGUGUGACUGAAGUUACACUGAAGUCAGAAUGAUCAUGUUCCACCAAUUACCAGUUGUAUGGCCUUAGGAAAUUUUAUUAAUAUUGUGGAGCCUCAGUUUUCUCAGUAAUAGAAUGAACACAAUAAUAUCAACUUGGUAGGAUCAUUGUAUAUUUAAAUCAAGCAAUGCACAUUUAGUCCUCAGUGCAGGUCCUCUCACAUAGGUGCAAAAUAGUGUUCAGUAAAUACCAGUAAUAAAUUAAUUUAUAAAUAUCAAUAUUGGACAUUGCAAAUAUUGGCUCCCACUUUCAAACUAUGACAAAUUUUAUAUUAGCAGAAGAUGACAAUAGCUAAGUGAGCAAAAGAUCCCAUCACUGUAAGUAUUGGUAAUGAUGUGCCCAGUUAAACUUAGCCAAUCCAAAUCUGGACAAUUUAAGGGAGAGACUGGAUACUUAUUUCCAACAAUGUCCCCAUGAAUUGUGAAUUAUUUAAAACCACCCACCUGAAAGGACAUGAAUCCCGUAUUGACGUCAUAAUCCAUUAUUUUGAUAUAUGGCUCCUUCCAAAGCUCUAUUUCAAUGUAAUCUGUGUCCCAACAAGGCUGCAGGCUGGUCACACUUUUGCUCUAUUGACUUGCCAAGCAGAAUUAUUUAUUUGGCACCAGUAAUGUGCUCUGUAUUCUAUGGCAGUUGGUGAUAAUAAUAGCUUGGUUUCUUUUGGUGCAUUUCCUUCAAGGAGUUGAGAGGACAUUUGGAUACACAGGGAAGGAGAAGUUGCCAUAUUGCUUCUCCUAACUCAUAGCAUUAGGCCCCUUAAAAACCACUUUUGGAUGAUGAUAAUGUUGAAUGUUUAUAUAUAUAUAUAUAUGAUAAAAUGACAGUGGCAGGGAAAUGAAGAAGAGCAGAGGAAGAGAAAGGAAGGAAAACUGAGAAGAGGGGCAGCAAAAGACAAACAAGAAAAACAUAAUUUUAUUGCUGUAGAAAGACAAGAACUAUCUUCAAAUAAUGCUAUAGAGGACCUGAAGAGUCAAAGGUAACUAAAACUGUAUGUCACUUUUAUUUCCCUUAGGGACCAAAUUCUCUUCUGGCUUUCACAGAUAUCCAUAGCUGGAUUCACACCACCUAUGUAACUUUCCCUCUUUGUUCCCAACCUUGCCUGAGCUAGACCACAAACUAUCAGGUUCUAGAAUUUCUGACAUUAUAAGGAAAACUUGAACUAAAAUAAACUCCAAAAUAAUUCAUUAAUCUCUGAGAAUAAAGUCUCAGCAUUGGAAGAGAUGGGUGUGGGUGGCACCUUUCUUGUCACCUCCCAAAGCGGUAAUCCUUUCCUCAAACAAGUAAGAUAGCUGGUUCUCAAAAAACAAUGGUUAUGGAAACUCAAUACCUUGCAAUAUAGGCCAUCCUGGUGUGAGAAGUAAUGGCUGUAAGAAAGCAUUCCUACUGUCAACUUGAAGUGUGCUUAUAUGCCUCUAAUGGCUAGUAUUAUGGAGGACAUACUAGCCAUUGUUCUGUGUGCUUAAUGUGUAUAGCUUCCAAGCCUCCCAAUAAUUUUGAAAGAUAGAUAUUAUUACUCCCAUAUCUAUAAACAGAAGAAAAUAUGACUCAAGGAGGUUAAAUGGCUCGUCUAAGCUCACAUAGCUUGUAAGUUCUGGAGCUAUACUCAAAGCCAAGACUGAUUCUAUAACCUUUUCUUUUUUCACUUCUUAACUGAUGGCAUUCCCUUCCUUUUCAGCUGUCAAAACCUCACUUGCUUGACAAAUAACUAAUGCAUGCGGGGCUUAAAACCUAGAUGAUGGCUGGUUGGGUGCAGCAAGGCACCAUGGCAUAUGUAUACCUGUGUAACAAACCUGCACAUUCUGCACAUGUAUCUCAGAACUUAAAGUAUAAUUAAAACAAGAAGAAAAAAAACAAAGAACAAAAUGUUACCUUAAUUCCCAGUUCUUCUGUGAAAUGCUCUUGGUCACCCCAUCCUGGAGUGCUCAUCUUUCUAUUAUGAGCCAUUUCCAGCAAUUUAGUUCUGUAGAAUUCUUAUGGCAAUUACUGUGUAAGAUCAUACAUCAAGAAAUCUCUCGUACUGGAACCUUAAAUUUUAUUUAAAUAUUUUUUAAUUAUUUAAAAAUCAUGAAAUGCCAGAAACGGAAGGCACAAAAGAGGUGAUAAAAAUGACAAUACUUGGUAGUAUUAAGUAUUUACUAUGAGCUAUAUAUUACUCUAAGUGAUUUACUUGCACUAAUUCAUUCAAUGCAAAUGAAGUAUGGAUUAUGUAUGGUAUGCACAUAUGUUUCACCAUUCUACAAAUGAGGAAAUGGAAAUACACAGAAAUUAGUUAAUUCUCUCAUGGCCAAAAGCUACAGCUUCAUAGUUACUCAAAUCCACAAGGCUUUGAAGUGGAAUUUUUUUUUGAGUGUGUUUGGCAGCAAAACCUGAUCUGACCUAAACUGAUUUUGUGGCAAAGCUUGUCCUAGCUUGACAUCAGACUAUUUAUAAUUAUUUAUCUCAUUUAAUGUUAAUAUUCAUAUGUUUUACUGUAGAAAUAUUUAUGUGUUUAAUUAUGGAGCACUGCUCCAGACCUUACUAGGGUUAGCAGUAUGCUGUGUAAUAUUUGGAUAUUAAUUUCCUCACCCUGCCCUUGCACACCCCAUCUCCAAAUCCUGUAUUUGGAAACACAUCUAGCCCUAAAGGCUUUGGCAGAAAGCAUUUAGAUCUGUAGUUAGUGGUAAAAGAGUCACAGUUCAAAUCAGGCUAUUAGAUGCUAGAGCCCAGAUUCAAGAAAACUAUACUAACUUUUCUUUUUUUAAAAUUUUUUAAAAAAAUUUCAUUUUAAGUUCUGGGGUAAAGUGCAGGAUUUGUUAAUAGGUAAACAUGUGCCAUAGUGGUUUGCUGCACCUAUCAACCCAUCACCUAGGUAUUAGGCCUAGCAUUCAUUAGCUAUUUUUCCUGAUGCUCUCCCUCCCACCACCCGCUUACCCUGUGACAGGCCCCAGUGUGUGGUGUUCCCCGCCGUGUGUCUGUGUGUUCUCAUUGUCCAGCUCCCACUUAUAAGUGAGAACAUGCGGUGUUUGGUUUUCUGUAUACUAGCAUUUCUAAUACUUCUGUUUAUAAUGUAACAAAACUU